GGUAUUGAAACAAUUGACUGUGUCAGCAUGCAGCUGAUUGUGGAGCCCGGCCUUGGGUUAUGCGAUAACCUCAAACCGAACAAGUUCUUCGGGACUAAACGAAAACGCUUUA
rnacentral:sRNA from 1 species